rnacentral:rRNA from 1 species
AUUGAACGCUGGCGGCAGGCCUAACACAUGCAAGUCGAACGGAGCGGCGGACGGGUGAGUAAUGCCUGGUGAUCUACCUGGUAGUGGGGGAUAACGUCCGGGAACGGGCGCUAAUACCACAUACUAUCAACUGAGCCUAGGGCGGAUUAGCUAGUUGGUGGGGUAAAGGCCUACCAAGGCGACGAUCCGUAACUGGUCCGAGAGGAUGAUCAGUCACACUGGAACGGAGACACGGUCCAGACUCCGACGGGAGGCAGCAGUGGGGAAUAUUGGACAAUGGGCGAAAGCCUGAUCCAGCCAUGCCGCGUGAGUGAAGAAGGUCUUCGGAUUGUAAAGCACUGUAAGUUGGGAGGCGUUACCUACAGAAAAAGCACCGGCUAACUGCGUGCCAGCAGCCGCGGUAAUAC